rnacentral:rRNA from 1 species
UAAGCGGAGGAAAAGAAACUAACAAGGAUUCCCCUAGUAACUGCGAGUGAAGCGGGAAAAGCUCAAAUUUAAAAUCUGGUGGUCUUUGGCCAUCCGAGUUGUAAUCUAGAGAAGCGUCUUCCGCGCUGGACCGUGCACAAGUCUCCUGGAACGGAGCGUCGUAGAGGGUGAGAAUCCCGUCUUUGGCAUGGACACACCAGGGCUUUUGUGAUGCGCUCUCGAAGAGUCGAGUUGUUUGGGAAUGCAGCUCAAAAUGGGUGGUGAACUCCAUCUAAAGCUAAAUAUUGGCGAGAGACCGAUAGCGAACAAGUACCGUGAGGGAAAGAUGAAAAGCACUUUGGAAAGAGAGUGAAACAGUACGUGAAAUUGUUGAAAGGGAAACGCUUGAAGUCAGUCGCGUCGACCGAGACUCAGCCUCGCCUCGGCUUGGCGUACUUCUCGGCCCGACGGGUCAGCAUCAAUUUCGCCUCUUGGAUAAUGGCGAGGGAAACGUGACACCUUUACGGUGUGUUAUAGUCUCUCGUCGCAUGCAAGGGUCGGGAUUGAGGAACUCAGCACGCGCCUUUGGGCGUCGGGGCUUUGCCUACGAUACGUGCUUAGGAUGUUGGCGUAAUGGCUUUAAACGACC